rnacentral:rRNA from 1 species
AGUGAACGCUGGCGGUAGGCCUAACACAUGCAAGUCGAACGGCAGCACAGUAAAAGCUUGCUCUUACGGGUGGCGAGUGGCGGACGGGUGAGGAAUACAUCGGAAUCUACUUUUUCGUGGGGGAUAACGUAGGGAAACUUACGCUAAUACCGCAUACGACCUACGGGUGAAAGCAGGAGAUCUUCGGACCUUGCGCGAUUGAAUGAGCCGAUGUCGGAUUAGCUAGUUGGCGGGGUAAAGGCCCACCAAGGCGACGAUCCGUAGCUGGUCUGAGAGGAUGAUCAGCCACACUGGAACUGAGACACGGUCCAGACUCCUACGGGAGGCAGCAGUGGGGAAUAUUGGACAAUGGGCGCAAGCCUGAUCCAGCCAUACCGCGUGGGUGAAGAAGGCCUUCGGGUUGUAAAGCCCUUUUGUUGGGAAAGAAAAGCAGCAGGUUAAUACCCCGCUGUUCUGACGGUACCCAAAGAAUAAGCACCGGCUAACUUCGUG